UACGAAGGGGGCUAGCGUUGUUCGGACUUACUGGGCGUAAAGCGUAUGCAGGCGGAUCAUUAAGUCGGGGGUGAAAUCCCGAGGCUCAACCUCGGAACUGCCUUCGAUACUGAUGAUCUUGAGUCCGGGAGAGGUGAGUGGAACUGCGAGUGUAGAGGUGAAAUUCGUAGAUAUUCGCAAGAACACCAGUGGCGAAGGCGGCUCACUGGCCCGGUACUGACGCUGAGAUACGAAAGCGUGGGGAGCAAACAGG
rnacentral:rRNA from 1 species